rnacentral:rRNA from 1 species
UACGUAGGGCGCAAGCGUUGUCCGGAAUUAUUGGGCGUAAAGAGCUCGUAGGUGGCCUGUCGCGUCGGCUGUGAAAACUCGGGGCUCAACUCCGAGCUUGCAGUCGAUACGGGCAGGCUAGAGUUCGGCAGGGGAGCCUGGAAUUCCUGGUGUAGCGGUGAAAUGCGCAGAUAUCAGGAGGAACACCGAUGGCGAAGGCAGCUCGCUGGGACGGUACUGACGCUGAGACGCGAAAGCGUGGGGAGCAAACAGG